AGUGCAUGAUCUGAAUACAUGCAUUUACAACUUACAGCUCUAAUACAAUAACACACAGACCCCAUGCAUAUGCAUUUUAAGGUUUCCUUGCCUGGCUGCCAAAAGGGCACGUUUCAGCAUUAUUUCUUUACUUACAUUAGAGGAUGAGCAGGACGAAAAAUGUAAAGUUGAAAAUAACCAAUCAGAGGAAAAAACCCGAAUUGCCGCAGACGUGAUUUGGAGUUUGGAUGAGAAAAUACGAUCACAUUUAUCAAUUAAUAAAUACAACUUUUGCAAGUGCAAAAACGAGUCCUGUGAGAAUUGUCAAUUGGUAACUAUUUGUUGAAUGUUUAUCAAAUAAUAGAAAUUUGUAUUUAUCCAUGCAGAGAAUCGGGUGCAGGCUUCUGUUUGACAGCUAUUCUAUAAUGAUUGAGACCUGUAAUUUAGUUUUUAACUAUUUUAGGUUAAAGAAAAAUUCAGAGGUUACUGUGAUAAGAGCAAUUUGAAUUGGGCCCCUGUGGUGGAAUAUCAUCGAAAAACAUGUCAAUUUUGCUGGUGCAAAAUUUGUACCAGGUAUAAUUAAGUCCUUAAUAUAUGCCCGGCACUGAUAGUAAAAUUAAUUAUGUACAGGAUAUAUUACUUAUUAUAACUGUAUAUGGUAAUUAUGGUUUCGUAACGAUAGUAACAAUAGUAACGAUAAAAGAGUAGUUUCCAGAAGGGUGUAUUGAUCAAUUAUGUUUAUUUUCCAAGACAUUUCUAGAACUUGUAUAUCAUGCAUUCUGAGAAACAAUUAAUUUUGACUUUAGUUUUAAUCGAACUCUCAAUAGAUUAACUGUAUCGCACCAUCUAGUUAGUUUUUGUGUUUUUAUUUAAAUUAAAGGUUGAAAGACAAAACACCUAUUGUUGUUGUUCAGCAAAAUAAACGUCUUGCAAGAAUUGUUGCUGGUUUGGAUCAAGAGGAUUCAAUAAUUUGUAGGGUAGAUAUGUUUUUUUUU